UCAAGCGAAAGAUUAUUUCGUUACUUGUACGCUUCAAAUUCGGAUAAUAUCUCAUUAAAAUACAGUUUUUGAGGUAGGUGCUAUUUCAUUUUAGAUUCUGUUGCAUUUAUCGAACAUUUACGGAUAUUAGAAAUUCAAUAUGGCGACUAACUCCUUAGUUACGACAUGUGCAUUUGAUGGUAGUAGCCAUCAAACAAAAAAUCUUAACUAAAAAUCGCGAAUGUUUGACUGAAGAAUUAUAAGGAUUAAACACAUUUUUUCUAGAGGUUAUUGAUGUGUAAACCGGGGCUCUUACUCACAAACUUAACAUAAAAGUCCUUCGGACU